CCCCUUAUUUUCCAUUCUUUCUAACCUUGGAUGUGUCUCUCAUAUAUUUUCAUUUACAAUUUAUAUAAGUAUUUUAUAUAGCAACAUAGUGUAUAUCUCUUUAAAGUGCCCUAUAAUUUGUUUUUUUCUUCCACAAUUGACCCUGAGAAUUUCAGAAAGCCAGACACAUCUUUUAGGAUAUCAAAUGAAGUCUCUAACUGGAUGACCCAUUUGUUCCUGCAAGUGAGCAGACUGAUUCUCUGUACAACAGUGAAAAAGCUGUGCAUCAUCGGUGAGGGAUGAAAGACAAGCAGUACGCAUUAUUGUAUAUCAAAGUGUAAUGCUGGAACCUUGAUCUACAGGAACAGAAACAAGCCUUUCCUAGCAUCAAGACAUUAAACCCUCCAAGAAACAAUCAAACCAACACCACAGAAUUCACUGGGAGAUUUAGCUCUUCUGCUUCUGGAGUGUUCUGGCACUGUGGUCUAGUGAACUACAAGGUGAUGAAGAAAGAGAUAACAACCUACCUUGAAGAUAGCUGCCUCAAAAAGAAACAUAAUGGAUAAAGUUCAGACCCGUAGGAUCUCAGCUAGCCUUACUAGUCUGGUGUGCGCCCCUCUGCCUGUGCUGCUGUUUGGCAGGCUGCCAGUGCCCAGAAAACACCAAGGAGCAGGGAUGCUGCUGGAAAAAGGACUGUCAAGCUUACUGGAAAGGAGAAUUUUAAGAACAAGAAAACGCCUGGUAAAAGUUGUAACUGGCUCUGCUUGCCUGUGGUAUGACAGCCAAGAAUAUCACCUGCUGAUGAUUUACAGAUUCCUGGGAGAUGUGCUGUUGAGUCUUAAAGAACUGGAACAAGGACAACUCACCCAAAUUGCUUUUCGUGAAACAGCAUAAUGUAUCCACCCGCUUCAUGCUAUCUUAAUUUAGGACAUGUGUAGUGUGUAAUGAUGAACUGGCCAACUGAUUAUGUUGCUGUAAAUCCUGUUCCCCACCUUACAAAACACUCCUGUCUGACCCCUUCUUUCAUGACAGCUCAGCCCAGCGUUUCCAGUCCACCUCUUGGGAGGGAGAAAGAUCUCACUAGCCAUUCACGGAAGCAGUUCUCUAGAGAGAAAAAUGCAACAUUUUGUUAGUUUUAUUUCAUUCAGCAGCCUUUUCAUAUUCCUUGACCCACUUUUGCUUCUCUUUAAACUGUGACCAGUAUUUAUUUAUCCCUUUUUAAACACAAUAAUUUAAUUAAGAAACUAAUCAGCAGUGUUGAAUUGAUCUUUGAACUCCCCCCUAUCACUGAAGGAAAUUUAUGAAUGCAUAACACAAGCAAUAUCCUAUUAUCUAAAAAGCUUUCUACUAAAAGGAUUUGGCAUCUAAAAAGUAAGGCUUGAAAUUCUGCACUAAAUUUAUAAUGUAAA